CCCCUAGAUGUUCUGGGCCGCACGCGCGCUACACUGAACAGUUCAACAAGUCUUAACCUUGGCCGAUAGGUCUGGGUAAUCUUUGAACGCUGUUCGUGAUUGGGAUAGACCUUUGCAAUUAUGGGUCUUCAACGAGGAAUUCCUAGUAAACGCAAGUCAUCAGCUUGCAUUGAUUACGUCCCUGCCCUUUGUACACACCGCCCGUCGCACCUACCGAUUGAAUGGUCCGGUGAAAUCUUCGGAUUGCUGGAUAGGACUUCAUUGACCUAUCUGCGAGAAGUUGCUUGAACCUUAUCAUUUAGAGGAAGGAGAAGUCGUAACA
rnacentral:rRNA from 1 species